GCUGGGAAAUGACGAGAACAUAUUCUAAGGUUGUUUCUUAAGGUAGAUAAAUGUUAUCUACCUCUUGAUUAUACCUUGCACGUCAGUCUGAUCCCAUA